rnacentral:rRNA from 1 species
GGGUGGCGAGUGGCGGACGGGUGAGGAAUACAUCGGAAUCUACUUUUUCGUGGGGGAUAACGUAGGGAAACUUACGCUAAUACCGCAUACGACCUACGGGUGAAAGCAGGGGAUCUUCGGACCUUGCGCGAUUGAAUGAGCCGAUGUCGGAUUAGCUAGUUGGCGGGGUAAAGGCCCACCAAGGCGACGAUCCGUAGCUGGUCUGAGAGGAUGAUCAGCCACACUGGAACUGAGACACGGUCCAGACUCCUACGGGAGGCAGCAGUGGGGAAUAUUGGACAAUGGGCGCAAGCCUGAUCCAGCCAUACCGCGUGGGUGAAGAAGGCCUUCGGGUUGUAAAGCCCUUUUGUUGGGAAAGAAAUCCAGCCGGUUAAUACCUGGUUGGGAUGACGGUACCCAAAGAAUAAGCACCGGCUAACUUCGUGCCAGCAGCCGCGG